UGGGGAAUUUUGGACAAUGGGCGCAAGCCUGAUCCAGCAAUGCCGCGUGCAGGAAGAAGGCCUUCGGGUUGUAAACUGCUUUUGUACGGAACGAAACGGUCUGGGUUAAUACCCUGGGCUAAUGACGGUACCGUAAGAAUAAGCACCGGCUAACUACGUGCCAGCAGCCGCGGUAAUACGUAGGGUGCAAGCGUUAAUCGGAAUUACUGGGCGUAAAGCGUGCGCAGGCGGUUUUGUAAGACAGGCGUGAAAUCCCCGGGCUCAACCUGGGAAUUGCGCUUGUGACUGCAAAGCUGGAGUGCGGCAGAGGGGGAUGGAAUUCCGCGUGUAGCAGUGAAAUGCGUAGAUAUGCGGAGGAACACCGAUGGCGAAGGCAAUCCCCUGGGCCUGCACUGACGCUCAUGCACGAAAGCGUGGGGAGCAAACA
rnacentral:rRNA from 1 species